rnacentral:rRNA from 1 species
GAUGAACGCUGGCGGCGUGCCUAAUACAUGCAAGUCGAGCGAACAGACGAGGAGCUUGCUCCUCUGACGUUAGCGGCGGACGGGUGAGUAACACGUGGAUAACCUACCUAUAAGACUGGGAUAACUUCGGGAAACCGGAGCUAAUACCGGAUAACAUGUUGAACCGCGUGGUUCAACAGUGAAAGACGGUUUUGCUGUCACUUAUAGAUGGAUCCGCGUCGCAUUAGCUAGUUGGUAAGGUAACGGCUUACCAAGGCAACGAUGCGUAGCCGAUCUGAGAGGGUGAUAGGCCGCACUGGAACUGAGACACGGUCCAGACUCCUACGGGAGGCAGCAGUAGGGAAUCUUCCGCAAUGGGCGAAAGCCUGACGGAGCAACGCCGCGUGAGUGAAGAAGGUCUUCGGAUCGUAAAACUCUGUUAUUAGGGAAGAACAAAUGUGUAAGUAACUAUGCACGUCUUGACGGUACCUAAUCAGAAAGCCACGGCUAACUACGUG